rnacentral:rRNA from 1 species
AUUGAACGCUGGCGGCAGGCCUAACACAUGCAAGUCGGGCGGAGCGGCGGACGGGUGCGUAAUGUAUGGGGAUCUGCCAGAUGGGGGAGGAUAACUACUGUAAACGGUAGCUAAUACCGCAUACUAUCAGAUGAGCCUAGGUCGGAUUAGCUAGUUGGUGGGGUAAAGGCCUACCAAGGCGACGAUCCGUAACUGUUCUGAGAGGAUGAUCAGUCACACUGUAACUGAGACACGGUCCAGACUCCGACGGGAGGCAGCAGUGGGGAAUAUUGGACAAUGGGCGAAAGCCUGAUCCAGCCAUGCCGCGUGUUUGAAGAAGGCCUUCGGAUUGUAAAGCACUUUAAGUUGGGAGGCGUUACCAACAGAAUAAGCACCGGCUAACUUCGUGCCAGCAGCCGCGGUAAUUC